CGACCGUCUUCCUAACGGCUCGUGGGAUGGCAUUGUGGGGAUGCUGGGACGGGGAGACGCCGAGCUCGCCAUUGCAAACUUGUUUGUCAGUGCAUUGCAGGGUCGUGACCAAUACCAAGGCUAUACCACCUUCUUUGAUACAGAUGACUCGUGCUUCAUUAUUCGCAUGGAGCCACCGCUACCUCGCUGGCAGUCACCAGGCCUGCCAUAUUCCUUUUCGACUUGGAUGGUCAGCUUAGGCAGCCUCUUCGUGAUCAGUAUCAUCCUUAACCUUAUCGCCUCAGCAGCGACUAACGAGUGGGUGACUCGUGAUGAAGGCAAGAAAACAACUGACCUGGGUUCGUUCUCCUCUGCUCUGUUUUUCACCGUCAGCCUCCACUUGCAGGAAUCAUUCCCUGCCCUGCCCCACCACAACGCCACACGGGUCAUGGUGGCUUCUAUGCUCCUGUACACCAUCAUUCUAGCCAAGGCAUAUUCCUGUAACUUAACGGCUUUCCUUACCGUGAGCAGGCAGCCAACAGGUGUAGAAACCAUUCAAGAUGUAUAUGAAUCCCAACUUGCUUUGUAUGAAACAACAUAUUUUAUAAAAAAUUCCCUGGCGGAAUCUCCUAACAUUUUCU